rfam:Homo sapiens chromosome 6, GRCh38 reference primary assembly.
GCCAGCUAUGGUGCCUUGUGCCUGUAGUCCCAGAUACUCAGGAGGCUGAGGCAGGAGAAUUGCUUGAGCCCGGGCAGGCUGAGGCUGCAGUGAGCUGAGAUCACACCACUGCACUCCAGCCUGGGCAACAGAGCAAUAUCCUGUCUCAA